GUCGCUAAAGGAUGGACCUGCGAUGCAUUAGCUAGUUGGUUAAGGGUAACGGGACGUUACCAAGGCGAUGAUGCAUAGCCCGAGUUGAGAGACUGAUCGGGCCACAUUGGGACUGAGACACGGGCCCAAACUCCUACGGGAGGCAGCAGUAGGGGGAAAUCUUCCACAAUGGACGAAAAGUCUGAUGGAGCAAACGCCGCGUGAGUGAAGAAGGUUUUCGGAUCGUAAAAAGCUCUGUUGUUGGUGAAGAAGGAUAGAGGUAGUAACUGGCCCUUUAUUUGACGGUAAUCAACCCAGAAAGUCACGGGCUAACUACGUGCCCAGCAGCCGCGGUAAAU
rnacentral:rRNA from 1 species